GAGCCCUAAGCGCCGAAAAAAAAAACCCCACCUUACCCCGACCACUCCGCUACCCCCAGGCCACUCUCAAGUCACAACCCCCAAAUCUCUCAAAAACCACCUUCACUUUCUCUCUCUAGAAAAUAUCGCUUCUUUGAAAUUUCUCCGAUCAUCUGUUUCCAUCAUCAGCUGGUACCUCCACUUCAUCAACUGGCCAUGUAUCUUCUCCUUACAAGGUUAAUUCUGCACAGCAUUUUCGAAGCAGCAAUUAUCCCAAGAGUACCAGUCUUCUGAUUGCAGAGGGUAGUGCUAACAAGCCUGCUAUACGUACUCCAUUUCCUCGAAGGCUAGGGGUACAAAUUGAUGAUCCUGCUGCUACUCAAUCCGCUACUGGAAGUGUAUUAGCCGAGAAUAUGGAAGCCCAGACUAGGAGCAUUAUUUUCCUGUGAAGUUCAUGAAUUUUGAUGGAUUUGGGUGCAAGUGGAGAAGAAGGCCAAAACUGGUUACUUUUAUUUGACAAAAUGGCGAAGAAGGAGACUGGAGCUUCUGAUGUGCGAAUUGACAGCGUAGUAAUAACACCAUGGAAGGCCCUUCUAACACACGUAACCUGCGGAGUAGGCUUAGGAGUAGCUUUCCAUGCUGCCCAUAAUUUCUACUCCAUCAAUUUGAUUCAAAAUCCGGCAAAAACCCUCCGUCUGAUCUGGGUUAUUGAAGCUCCAGUCGUGAUUCUGCUGUACAGUCUCUUUCGACAUCGUCCAAAUCAAUGCUCUUACUUGAAAGCCGUAGUACGAGGUUUGUUGGCACUACCUGCUGGGGCAGUAGUGAAUGCACUUGGAGCUAUAGCAUUGGGAUCACCCAUGAUUCAGAACUUCAACAGGACCCUCCACUGGUCUCUUCUGAUGUCAGUGCUUACUUGUGUCCCAACAGCUUCUGUGUUUGGUUCUUCUUGGGCUGACUGGCACCGCAUAUUUGCUCACACAAAGCCAAGUGGACCUGUAGAGUACAUGAUCUGCCUACCUGCUCAUGGAGCUGUCAUUGGAGCAUGGUUUGGCGCUUGGCCAAUGCCACUUGACUGGGAAAGACCAUGGCAGGACUGGCCGGUUUGUGUGAGUUAUGGAGCUUUGGCUGGGUAUUGUGUCGGGAUGGCAGCAGCUUUUGGUUUUGUCUGUUUCGGAAAUAAUCGAAGGCAUGUAAAAGGAGACUAAUGAUGGAGAAUUCGACAUUAAUCUUUUUGGAGGUUGCUAUCGAUGACCUUAUUGAUAGACUGAGUUGCAUCCAGCUGACCAUAGCACCUCACCUGCUGAGUGGAGGUGAAGAUGUUUCACAGCCAUUGUUCAUGUUUUGUCUUUGAAAUGAACUUUGGGCAGUUGGGACACUUAUACCUUUUUUUAACCCACCAUGGACCAUCUUUGUACAUUUCCACUUCUCGUUGACUCACUAUGACUUUUGACAAGGCUAAGCAGAGACGCAAACCAGGUCACCGCUCAUCACCCGUCACUUGCUAAUCCGUCUCAAUUGGUGCUAUCAUCUUGUAAUAGUGCUGCAAUUAAUGAUGCAAGGACCAGUAUGUAUCCAAAUUUUAUUUGUCCAUUUUCUAAAUCUGCCCAAGAAAAAAGUAGGUACCUACCAAGUUAGGCC